GGAGAGAUGGCCGAGUGGCUUAAGGCACACGCUUGGAAAGCGUGCUCAUUUGUAAAAAUGACAGGGGUUCGAAUCCCCUUUUCUCCGCCA
rnacentral:tRNA from 1 species